UACAGAGGGUGCAAGCGUUAAUCGGAAUUACUGGGCGUAAAGCGUGCGUAGUCGGUUAUCUAAGUCGGGUGUGAAUCCCGGGCUCAACCUGGGAAUUGCAUUCGAUACUGGAUAGCUAGAGUUCGGCAGAGGGAAGCGGAAUUUCGGGUGUGAGCGGUGAAAUGCGUAGAUAUCCGAAGGAACAUCAGUGGCGAAAGCGGCUUCCUGGACCAGAACUGACGAUCAGGCACGAAAGCGUGGGAGCAACAGGAU
rnacentral:rRNA from 1 species